rnacentral:snoRNA from 1 species
UGGGAGAUUGAUACUCAGACAUGGAGAAAGUCUGCCGUGUCUGACACUAUAUCUCCCUAUAGUGACCCUGCCUUCUGAUGACCGGGACGAAAUGAGAGAAAUCGUAACGGACAGAUACGAGGCAGACAGGA